UGCCACUCUUAACGGGGUGGCUUUUCAGAAGUGUAAAAAGCUUCUGGAAUAAGGGCUGGGCAAGACCGGUGCCAGCCGCCGCGGUAACACCGGCAGCUCAAGUGGUAGCCGCUUUUAUUGGGCCUAAAGCGUCCGUAGCCGGUCUGAUAAGUCUCUGGUGAAAUCCCACAGCUUAACUGUGGGAAUUGCUGGAGAUACUAUCAUGACUCGAGGUCGGGAGAGGCUGGAGGUACUCCCAGGGUAGGGGUGAAAUCCUGUAAUCCUGGGAGGACCACCUGUAGCGAAGGCGUCCAGCUGGAACGAACCUGACGGUGAGGGACGAAAGCCAGGGGCGCGAACCGGAUUAGAUACCCGGGUAGUCCUGGCCGUAAACGAUGUGGACUUGGUGUUGAGAUGGCUUCGAGCUGCCCCAGUGCCGAAGGGAAGCUGUUAAGUCCACCGCCUGGGAAGUACGGCCGCA
rnacentral:rRNA from 1 species